AUAGGGGAGCCGUAGGGAAACCGAGUCUUAACUGGGCGAAUGAGUUGCAGGGUAUAGACCCGAAACCCGGUGAUCUAUCCAUGGGCAGGUUGAAGGUUGGGUAACACUAACUGGAGGACCGAACCGACUAAUGUUGAAAAAUUAGCGGAUGACUUGUGGAUGGGGGUGAAAGGCCAAUCAAACCGGGAGAUAGCUGGUUCUCCCCGAAAGCUAUUUAGGUAGCGCCUCGUGAACUCAUCUUCGGGGGUAGAGCACUGUUUCGACUAGGGGGUCAUCCCGACUUACCAACUCGAUGCAAACUGCGAAUACCGAAGAAUGUUAUCACGGGAGACACACGGCGGGUGCUAACGUCCGUCGUGAAGAGGGAAACAACCCAGACCGCCAGCUAAGGUCCCAAAGUCAUGGUUAAGUGGGAAACGAAGUGGGAAGGCUCAGACAGCCAGGAUGUUGGCUUAGAAGCAGCCAUCAUUUAAAGAAAGCGUAAUAGCUCACUGGUCGAGUCG
rnacentral:rRNA from 1 species